rnacentral:rRNA from 1 species
UACGAAGGGGGCUAGCGUUGCUCGGAAUGACUGGGCGUAAAGGGCGCGUAGGCGGCUUGCACCGUCAGAUGUGAAAUUCCUGGGCUUAACCUGGGGGCUGCAUUUGAUACGUGUGGGCUUGAGUGCGGAAGAGGGUCGUGGAAUUCCCAGUGUAGAGGUGAAAUUCGUAGAUAUUGGGAAGAACACCGGUGGCGAAGGCGGCGACCUGGUCCGUGACUGACGCUGAGGCGCGAAGGCGUGGGGAGCGAACGGG